UAGGGAAUCUUCCACAAUGGACGAAAGUCUGAUGGAGCAACGCCGCGUGAGUGAAGAAGGGUUUCGGCUCGUAAAACUCUGUUGUUAAAGAAGAACAUAUCUGAGAGUAACUGUUCAGGUAUUGACGGUAUUUAACCAGAAAGCCACGGCUAACUACGUGGCAG
rnacentral:rRNA from 1 species